AAAGUACUCCCUCCGUCCCAAAAUUCUGGUCUUAGAUUUGUCUAGAUAUGGAUGUAUCAAGUCACAUUUUAGUAUUAGAUACAUCCGUAUCUAGACAAAUCUAAGACAAGAAAUUUGGGACAGAGGGAGUAGUUG
rnacentral:pre_miRNA from 1 species